UUCACGCUUCAGAUUUUUCACUGUCCGCAGCAAUUCCACUUCAUAUUCCCAAUGCUCCUUUCCUAUUCUCAAUGCAAACCCUUCAAUUCUAUUUUAUCUUCUCCCAAUUCCUAAUUAUCAACCAUUAUUUUCUCAUUUCUCCAUCUUCAUCCUUCCCCUCUCUCUCUCUCUUUCCUCCAAAAAAAUUAGACCUCUCAUUCUACCUCCAUCGCCAUUCAACAUCGUUAGUUGUCGUCUCUCUCUACUUCAAAUUUGCCGAACCACGAGAAAUUCUUCAAUCAUAAAGGAAGCAUUUGAUUCUAUCUCUCAAUCAGAAACUCUUCUCUGUUGGAAAUGAAUGGCUAAGGAAAGGAAGCAGGAGAUUCUAGGGUUCAGAGAAGAUCUGAAAGAAUCUCAAGAUGCUUUACAUUGCGACCUCUUUCGUGAGAGCGCUUCUUGCAAGUUCUAUUUGUUCAAUGAUUUAGGGAAAUUAAAUCUAAAGCAUCAUGGAAACAAAUCUACCACCAUGUUCAAUGACGUACUUCGCUGUAGAUUUUCAAGUAAAGGUGGUUUGAAAACAUAAUGAGUGGUGACAACUCCGAUGGUGAAUUUGUCAGUAGGUUAUGCUAUCAAUUAUUGAGGAAAGGUGGUCUGAAAAUUAGGGUUUAUAAAAAUUUAUCAUUUGUUAAUAAUCCCCAAAAUUGAAAUUUUUUAAUCAAAUUCAUUCUCUCUGUUGUUAAAUUUAAGGUCUUUUGUUUUUGGAAUGAUGUGGUGAUUUUUUGGAAGGUCUUUAUGUAUAAAGGUCUUAAACUCUUUAGUUUUAUGAGUUACUAUCUAUUGUUUCAGCUUGGAUACGAACUCAAAGACGGCCAAGUUAUUUUUAAAUUAAUAUAGAAUACGCUAUUUCUAUAUUUACAAAAUAUACUUUAAGUAAUUUUUCGAUCUCAUUGUUUGGUGCGGCGCUAUUGCAGCUGCAACAACUUCUUUUUUGUAUACCUGUAUUAAAUUUUUGAUGGUUGAAAUUGCAUGACUAUUAUUGUUUCACUUGAAAUUGUUUGUUAUACUAUCUUUUAUCACAUUUCAUGAAACAGGACUACAUGGGUCUUCAACACCUCUGUCAUGUAAACAAGUCAACACAUAGAUUGUCUUGCAAAUAUUGAUUUUUUAAAUGUCAUUGUUUUUUAGUGCCAGGCGAACAAAUUGCGCUACCUUCUGCUAAGGUGGCUACUACAGUCUUGACAAGGUGAGUUUUUUGAUAUUGCAACCAUGGAGCAUACAAAUUUAAGGGCUUUAUCUUUUUUUUGGUAUAGACUAACAUAAUUUUCUAUAGGUGUUGUAAUGUAUUACAAAAUAGUUCAGUCAUUAUAAAGUUGAUUCCUACUAUUGGCAUUAUCAUUUUUGUAGUACGGGGUGUUGGUCCAUUAACGUUUGCAGUAUAAGCUAAUAUGUUAAUUCAUCGGGUAUGCUAAUACUAGAUUCUUCCUUACCGUUGUCGUCUCCACCUAUUUAUUUUUGACAUAUGCUGACUUUUUUCUUAGGAAAAAUGCAGAUUAUUUUCAUUUGGAACUUUGUUACCACAUGACUUUGGCAAACAAUUUACUAGGUUCUUCCGCCUAUGUAACUGACUUUCCUAGCUCAUGUAACCGUACAUCAGACAUUACAUGGCUUUGAAGGAAUGUGAAUUAACAGAAGGAGUAUGCUCGAUUCAAAUUGUGUAUGAUCGAAAUAGGCAACCUGUGUGGAUCUAUAAAACAUGGUGGUAAUGGAGGAGACAUCAUGCAUAGGAGUUGUGCAGACCGUACACAAUUUAGGCAAAAAGGUUUUAUUGUUGAUAAAGCAACUAAUAGAUUUCAUAAUGCUUAUGGGCAAAUGGCAGUGAUAUGAAGGAUCGGACUCAAGAGCUUCGUCACAUCUCUAAAGCUAGAUGGAAAGCAAAGGAAGUAUGAUUGUUAAUUUGUAAUGUUUAUCUCUUUUAAAUGAUCAUCUUUUGAUAUGUGUUCUAUUUGACAUGUGAGUUUUAAUGCACUAUUACUGUCAAAAUAUUCAACCUUUUUGAAACUUAUCUCUAAUGCAAAAUCUGAACAAUUGUUGAUACUCAAGAACCUCAAAACACUUGGAUAUGCAGGUAAUUACAUUAUCAACAUGUUCCUUCAAAGUAUUUUAAAAAACUUUGUUGAACUGAACCACUAUCAAUACUUUCUCCUUGAUUUGUGAAGAAUAAAUGGUGGUCUAGCUUUGAUUGACAAUAUAGUGAGUCAUCUUUAUUUGACAAUCAAUUGCUUAUCAGAAUGAGUUGGAAAUUCUGAUGGAAACAUGCAUAGUAAAGGAAGAGAAAAUUGAAGCUAAAAAGAUUAUCAAUAUGCUUGAUUAAUGCUUUAAAGAGAAAGAAACAAAAGGAGAAAAAACUGUUGUAUAUGCCCGUUCAUGAUUGCAUGACAAUUCUUCCCGACUCAUUCUAAA